rnacentral:rRNA from 1 species
GAUGAACGCUGGCGGCGUGCUUAACACAUGCAAGUCGAACGGAAAGGCCCAAGCUUGCUUGGGUACUCGAGUGGCGAACGGGUGAGUAACACGUGGGUGAUCUGCCCUGCACUUCGGGAUAAGCCUGGGAAACUGGGUCUAAUACCGGAUAGGACCACUUCUUGGAUGUUGUGGUGGAAAGUUUUUUCGGUGUGGGAUGAGCUCGCGGCCUAUCAGCUUGUUGGUGGGGUAAUGGCCUACCAAGGCGUCGACGGGCAGCCGGCCUGAGAGGGUGUACGGCCACAUUGGGACUGAGAUACGGCCCAGACUCCUACGGGAGGCAGCAGUGGGGAAUAUUGCACAAUGGGCGCAAGCCUGAUGCAGCGACGCCGCGUGGGGGAUGACGGCCUUCGGGUUGGAAACUCCUUUCGCUAGGGACGAAGCGUUUUGUGACGGUACCUGGAGAAGAAGCACCGGCUAACUACGUG